AAUAGAAAUACAGAGACAGAAGAAGGCGGGGUAAAUACGUUUUUAUUCUUCAAGUGAAAAAUAUUGGGUGAUUUGGUAACUGACUAUAUAAUAAUUGGAUGAAUUAUGAGGUAUAGAUUUGAGGCCGGAAUCUUAAAUUGGUACCAUACAUGUAAACUUAGGGGAUAUUCAUAAUGUUUUGCAGAAAUUCCCAAGCUAACAUCUGGCUGCUCUGAAUUUGUUGAUUCAGCAGAACACAUCUUGACAAAAAGGGGGAUGAAUUACACAUUGCUGGCAAAUCAUACUACUUUGCUUGAUUUACUUGAAAGUCCUCAGCUCAUGACACAAUCUGAAGUGAGAAUCUGCUAUCAGCAGCAAAAAGUCUGUUUCUUUUGUCAGAUAUAUCGAGGCAGUAUUUUCUUUUCUUCUUAGACAAGGAACAAGAAUUCCUGUGAUUCAGGCUCUAGCUUCAGAAGUUGGGUAGACCACUCAGUAUCUUCUACAUGAGCUUCUCCAGAAACUUAGAUCUAACACUCAGUUUCUAAGAUACCAUGAAGCCUGGCUUACCGGAAUACUUGAUGACUUAGACCAGAGAAAUCCUUAUGAAUAUUUGAAAUGGAUGGUAAAUUGUCACCAAAAACUCUUUGACAUGGCUUGUGCAUAUGUGCCUGAGAUUAACUGAAUAUCUUCAUAGUACAAUAGAUGCAUCUGUAAUACAAGUUUUCCCUUUGGUUUUUAGCUUCAUAUCAGUAUGACGAUUGCUUGUUGUGUUGUCCCAGAGCUAUAUUGUAAUUAUAGUGCCAAAAAAUACUUGUUCUUUUUAUUCCUUGUUUCAUUGUUUAAUAUCAGAUGAAAGAGGAGAUGUUCUUGAGUCGAUGAUUUCAUAAUCAGUAGUGUUUAACUGGAGUUGAAUAGUAC